rnacentral:lncRNA from 13 species
CCCCCUCACCUGCGCGAAGGUGAACUCGUGACCUCGUCAUCCAUCCGAGUUGCACGCUCAACUAUGUGCGCGUGGACGUGAACCGCGGGAAGUCCGGUAACGAACAGAGACCCUCUUCUACUCUCCGGUCUGUCCUGUGAAAUGUUCCGUUAACCUCCGGGUGGAUGAGCUCUGAGAUGAACGGUCCACGUAGAGUAAUACUGGUCCUUCUUUCGUGGUGUUCAGUUCUCCAGCUGCUGACAGCACACGCUCAGAGCCAACUGACAGAGACAGACAGUAGACUACAGAGGUAAGAGAGGAGAGGAAGCGAGAAACAUUCAUAAUCUCAGGGGAUUCAUUAAUUCAAUGUCAUGGCUAAACUGAUGCAUGUGUGUGUUUGGUUUGGAUGUAUUCAAGUGGUCAAAAGUGCACUUAACUUCAGUUUGCAUGUUUCUCCUCAUAAUGAAUGUAUAUCUCCCUGUGCUGUGUGUGUGUCUGUGUGUGUGUGUGUCUGUGUGUAUGUGUGUGUGUGUCUGUGUGUGUGUGCAUGUGUACGUGCGUGCAGGAGGGCUAAUGCACUGCGGAGGAAACGGGAUCUCCUAGGGGAGGAGACAUUCAGUCCACUUCUCUCUGAAGCAACUCUCCCUCGCAGUGUUCUACACAAUUACACCGCCCGCGAUGCCUCCUCAGAGUACUGUGGCUGUCUGAAUGGGGGCUGGUGUCAGGAGGGAGGUGUGUGUGACUGUGCACAGUUCCAGGCCCUCGGAGACCGCUGCCAGAUCAGUGAGUAACACACACAC